UUUUGAUCAUGGUUUGGGUUAUAAUUUGAUUACUGGUUUUUUUUAGACGGAAUAUGAUUAUCCUUUUCAUAAAAAAUAAAAAAAAUAACGAAGAGAUGGAAGAAAUUUUUGAAAUAAAUGAAAUUACGGAGAGGUGAAGGAACCACAUGGGGCGUUGAGGGAGCAACACCCUUGGACUAGCUAUUUUCUACGUUGGGCCGCUGCUUGCAGCUAAACUUAAUGAAACGGUGUGUGGCAGCUGCUGUCUUGGGGAAUUUGUUUAGGGUGGAGCAUCUCAUUUUGAAGAACAUCCAAAAGCUAUAGGGUUCGAGAGAGAGAGAAGCGAGAGGAAGAUGAGCUCCAACGGUGCGAUCUUGACUCGAAGCUCGAGCACGUGACCGGAGCUGACCAGUGAGGCGAAGAGAUUAAAGUUGAUCUGAGGGCUUGGAGAGGAGAGCAAACGUAGACCGUCCGAUUGGAAGAUGCUCGAAGCGUCGAAGAGAAGAAAAUUGGUGAGCUAGCGAAGCGCUUGAUUAGCUUGAAUUCUGGUAUGAGAAUGCCAUAAGAUCAGUACUUGAAAAAUUUUCUUCAGAAGUUAAUCUUGAUGAAGAGAGUAUCUUAAACAAGCAAUUGCUUAUGAAGCUUGAGAUGUUGGAGAACCAAUAAUUUAUACAAGGAGACAAGCAAGCAAAAAAAAGCAAGUGGUGGCAUUGUUAUUGGAUCUUCCUAUGCUUUUAAGAAAGGUCCAGGUGCAACUUCAGCUUCAAUAGGAAGGAAGGGCAAAAAGACAAUGCAAAUUGGAGUUGAUAAUGAAUUGCAAUUGGAUAGCUCUGACUACGAGUUUUAAAAAUUAUGUAACUUGACAAGCAUAUUUCUUUUUGAAGGGAAAGAUGAGGAGGCAUAUGCCUCGUUGGAUAAUAUUGGAGAUAAUUAUGUUGGUGAUAGGUUCCUCAACAAUGAACCUAAUCAGAAACUCAAAAACUCAAACAGAGCACACCAGGUAUGGAGAAAGAUCCCUUUUAUUCACAAAAGAAUAUCUGUAUACAAUGAACAAUAGAGGCCUAACCCUCUUCACAGGAUAGAACCUGUUUAACAAACAAUCAACCAAAAGUCCCCCCCUCCUACUAUUAUCUAAAAGAAAACUUUCCUCAUAUUUGUUUACAAGAGUUUGACAAUCUUCUCUCCAGUGGAAGAAGGGUGAAUGUGGAUACUAUGUGACUUCUAUUUGUUUUCUCUAAUAAUCAAUAAUUAAUUAUUAUACUGUAAGAACCUAAAUUCCAAGAAAGACUGGAAGAGAAAGGAUUGAAUAAGCUUUUUUUUAUCUGGGUCGUUGAGUAGGAUCGUAGAAGAAGUAGAACUUGGAUUUAUUUGGUGGCCGUAGAAGAAGUAGAACUUGGAUUUAUUUGGUUGAGGAAUCUGUGGAGACCUUGGUUCAGUAUUGAAGAUGAAGAAGAUGAAGAGGGAGAAUGCAGAAGGUAAGGAAAAAUAAAAAAAAAUUACACAUCUACCUGGAAUUCAUUUAAUUUAAUAUCUAAUGCUAUGUCAUUUAAAAAAAUCAAACUCAACAACUGUUAUACGGCGUUAGUGAAAAUUUAACGGAGAGGGUUUAAUUGUCUCAUUUUCACAAAUAAUAGGAUCCGAUUGAGAAAAAAAAAAAUAUCAAUGACCAAAUUGAGAUUGACACGAGGAUCAAAUGAGGGUUUAAACCAUUUCAAAAUCCGAUUUAGGAAAUUCACCAAAUUUCUU